rnacentral:misc_RNA from 1 species
AACGCACAUUGCACUCUGUUUACGCAGAGUAUGCCUGUUUGAGAAUCUAUAGUAUUCUUUUUCUCUAUAAAGUUUUUAUAAUUUUAUAUGGGAAAGUUUUGCGGAUUUUGGGUCAACCAAUUCUGUUAAAUCUAUAGUCAUUUUUUUUAUAGUCAAUGUUUGAAACUCUCUAUAAAAACUUUGCAGAAAUGUAUUUGAAUGAACCUAGCAGUUCUCCUUAUACAAAUUACGCAGAGAGAGAUUAGUUUUCUAUAAAAGAUUAAUGCCCAUAACCAUUAAAAAAGUAGAUUGUAAGAUUUAUUUUUUGAACCAUGGUCUCAAAUCAGGUAGGAUUACCCGCUGAACUUAA